GGAAAUUUUUUCGGGCUUUUUCCUAGAUUUUUUUUGUUAAAUAUAUAGAGAUUUGCCCUUUCGCUCAGAUUGAACGCUGGCGGCAGGCCUAACACAUGCAAGUCGAGCGGCAGCACGGGUACUUGUACCUGGUGGCGAGCGGCGGACGGGUGAGUAAUGCCUAGGAAUCUGCCUGGUAGUGGGGGAUAACGCUCGGAAACGGACGCUAAUACCGCAUACGUCCUACGGGAGAAAGCAGGGGACCUUCGGGCCUUGCGCUAUCAGAUGAGCCUAGGUCGGAUUAGCUAGUUGGUGAGGUAAUGGCUCACCAAGGCGACGAUCCGUAACUGGUCUGAGAGGAUGAUCAGUCACACUGGAACUGAGACACGGUCCAGACUCCUACGGGAGGCAGCAGUGGGGAAUAUUGGACAAUGGGCGAAAGCCUGAUCCAGCCAUGCCGCGUGUGUGAAGAAGGUCUUCGGAUUGUAAAGCACUUUAAGUUGGGAGGAAGGGCAGUUACCUAAUACGUAAUUGUUUUGACGUUACCGACAGAAUAAGCACCGGCUAACUCUGUGCCAGCAGCCGCGGUAAUACAGAGGGUGCAAGCGUUAAUCGGAAUUACUGGGCGUAAAGCGCGCGUAGGUGGUUCGUUAAGUUGGAUGUGAAAUCCCCGGGCUCAACCUGGGAACUGCAUUCAAAACUGACGAGCUAGAGUAUGGUAGAGGGUGGUGGAAUUUCCUGUGUAGCGGUGAAAUGCGUAGAUAUAGGAAGGAACACCAGUGGCGAAGGCGACCACCUGGACUGAUACUGACACUGAGGUGCGAAAGCGUGGGGAGCAAACAGGAUUAGAUACCCUGGUAGUCCACGCCGUAAACGAUGUCAACUAGCCGUUGGGAGCCUUGAGCUCUUAGUGGCGCAGCUAACGCAUUAAGUGACCGCCUGGAGACGCCCACUUUGU
rnacentral:rRNA from 1 species